AAUAUCAGUAAAUGAUACUCUCUUCGGAGCAUUGGAGACAGGUGGUGCAUGGUUGUCGUCAGCUCGUGUCGUGAGAUGUUGGGUUAAGUCCCGCAACGAGCGCAACCCUUCGCCUUUAGUAGCCAGCAGUAAGAUGGGCACUCUAGAGGGACUGCCAGGGAUAACCUGGAGGAAGGUGGGGAUGACGUCAAAUCAUCAUGCCCCUUAUGAUUUGGGCUACACACGUGCUACAAUGGCGUAAACAAAGAGAAGCGAAAUGGUGACAUUAAGCAAAUCUCAAAAAUAACGUCUCAGUUCGGAUUGUAGUCUGCAACUCGACUACAUGAAGCUGGAAUCGCUAGUAAUCGCGAAUCAGCAUGUCGCGGUGAAUACGUUCCCGGGUCUUGUACACACCGCCCGUCACACCAUGGGAGUCGGUAAUGCCCGAAGUCUGUGACCUAACCGUAAGGAAGGAGCAGCCGAAGGCAGGACUGAUAACUGGGGUGAAGUCGUAACAAGGUAACCUAAUCUAGAUGCAUCGCGAG
rnacentral:rRNA from 1 species